CUGAACUUAGGUCUGUCUCCUUAAACCUGGGACCCUGGCUGCACCCAGACCUUCCCAGGGCCCCGUGGAGAGGGUGUAUUGGUGUAACUGCACAGAUAGGGUGUUGCAUGGAGAUGGGGGGUGAGCAGUAGCAGCCCAGAGGGCUGUUUGGAUAGAUGUUGUCUGAGAAGGGGACUCAGGAAGAGAGCCCAAAGUGAAGUCACUUCCUUGACAAUAGACCCCCACAGAACUUGGAACCCCUGUAACCAGGCGCCCACAUUCCAGUGACAGCCCCAUACCCAGCCCACUUGGCCAGACACUUCACUUACAAAUAUGUUCUCCCGCUGUGUCCUCACUUAACGGGGCUCUUGUUUUGGGACAGCCUGGAGUGAGAGCCUUUUCGGAAGCUGCAGACAUUUGUUCAACCCUCACUCGACCCAGACACCUCUGGCCAUUUGACAGGAGGUCCCCUAAGGGUGAAAAUGUGUCCACAGUGAAAUGGAAGAGACCCGCAUGGUGUGGACCGUCCAGGGAGGCAGGCCAGAAAAGCAAGUGGAGCACCUGGUGUUCGCCUUCCUGGGCAGUGACCCCUCAUACGUGCCCACCCUCCUGGGCACCUGCAGAGCUUCUGCCAACACCCAACAGCACUCGACCUGCUGUUCAAAGGAUCAUCUCCUCAAUCCUGGGCACCUGACUGGACCAGGAUUUCCACCAGCCACCAGAAUUUCCCUGCCUGAAGAUGCUACUGGCCUACACUGGGCUCAACAUGCCGGCUCGGACCUGGAGCGCCAUGCCCACCCGCUUCUGGCACAACUAGAGCACCUUAAGCCCAUUGAGGGUGAGGAGGACUGAGGGUGAAGACUCAGGGUGGGCGAUGUGGGCUGUGGGGAGCGGUGGGGCUGGGUCACACAGAGCUGAGCCUCCGGAGGCUAGAGUUGGGUCAGGAGCAAUGAGUAGCCUCAGAUCACUAUUCCCACCCACUACAGUCUGGACCACUUCCUGGGGGUGGGUUCCUGGAAGAAGACUUCAUCGAUUGACAGAGAGAGGUUUCCUGUGUAUUUGGAGGGCACAUGGAAAGGCAGUCAUGUUCAUGAUAUUUUCUCCUCUUGGAGCUACAGUACCAGCUCCAGAGCAAGCUCUAGAACCACUUCAAGAGUUAGUGCCAGCUCCCAUUCUACUGCCCACUACAGUUCCAGAGCCAGAGCCAGCUCAAGCCACAGCUCUCAUUCAAUUCAAGAGCUCAAACAAGCAUAUAUGUCAGCUAUAAUUCCUGAGCCAGGGAGUGCUCAAGCCACAGCUGUCAUUCAAGCUCAAGAGCUAGAACAAGCACCUACAUAAGCUCCAAUUCCAGAGCCAGGAAAGGUUCAAGCAACACCUCCCACCUAAUGUCCAGAGCUAGAAGCAUCACGAAAACCUAUUCUAGUAUGAGCUCCAGAACUCCAGCAAGUUCCAUCAACAGCUCCAGCUCCAGAGCACAAGCCAACCACAGCAAGAGCACUACCGCCAGCUCUUGAGCCCCAUAGUGCUUUGGCACCAGCUCCAGUUCUAGAACUAAAGACAAUAACAGACCCCAUUCUCAAAGCAACACUGGUGCCAGAGCCAGUUCCUCCCCCAGUAUACUAGAGCUGGUACCAGCUCAGCAACCAGCGCCAGCUCCUGCAACGCCUCCAGGGCCCGAUCACAAGCUGCAACUCACACCAGCUGCAGCCCCAGAGACUUCCUUCCCCUCCCCUAUAAUUCCACUUUUUAAAUUUUUGUUUUUCCUUAUAUUUACUCAAUAUUUUACUAUAUUCUAUCAUAUAAAAUUCACAAAAUAAAAUUUAACUCUUUGAUCACUUUAAAUGGGACAUUAAGUACAUUCACAAUCUUGCAUAAUCCCCACUGCUGUCUAUUCCAGAACAUUUUCAUCAAAGAGAAGCCCCGUAUCUACUAGUCAGUCACUCCUCCUUCCUGUCACCCAGCCCCUGGCACCGACUAUCUUCUUUAUGUCUCUAUGGAUUUAUCAAAACGGGGCUGUCCAUAUCAGAGGAAUCAUAUAAUAUGUGGCCUUCUGUGUCUGGCUAAAUAAUGCAUGAGGAGACUGAUUAAUGAUCAUUUUUAUUUCAACAGAAGUAAUUUUUUUUAUUAACAAGGACAAUCCUUGAUCCAUGAAAGAUUAUGUGUAGGAAAUGAUGCCUAAAUAUUAAAUGUUUUCAUUACCUUGGGAUAGGGAACACUUUCACAUGUAUGACACAAGAGCCAGCAACAUAAGGGAAAUAUCUG
ensembl:lncRNA